AGGCUUGUGAAGGGCUUGGCUUGGAGAAUAUGCUGUAGAAGAACAGACUGAAGGAACUGGGGCUGUUUAGUCUGAGGAAAAGGAGGCUGAGGGGAGACCUUAUUGCUCUCUUCCAGUAACUGAAAGGUGAUUACAGUGAGAGUGGGGUUGGUCUCUUCUCACUGGUGACAGGUGACAGAAUGAGGGGAAAUGGCCUUAAGUUGUGCCAGGGUAAGUUUAACUUGGAUAUCAGGACAAACUUCUUUACAGAAAGGGUGGUAAAGCACUGGAAUAGGCUCCCCAUGGAGGUGGUUGAGUCAGCAUCCCUGGAUGUGAUUAAAAACCAUUUGGAUGUGGUGCUCAGGGACGUGAUUUAGUGGUGGGUUGUUAGAGUUAGGGUAGUGUGGUCAGGUUGUGGUUGGACUUGAUGAUCUUGAAGGUCUUCUCUAACCUGAGCAAUUCUAUGAUUCUAUGCUGAGGGUGGUAAGUGGAAGAAAAACAAUGCAGGCAGAAGCAGAAUCCAAAUGGAAAAUCAUCCGGGCAAAAGAAGUUAUUUCUUUGGAGUAGUUGCUAGUGGACUCUUAGGUGGUGGUAUUUUAGUGGAGCUAUGUUGGGGGCAAUUACUGAAGCAGUGAGAUGAGUUCGUCCGAACCAGAACAUACAAGAUCUGUAACAGACACAUAGCUCUUGCUAGUUGAAACUGGUGGCAUUACUUUUAGAGGGGGAAAGUAGAUUUCAAUCAUAAAGAUAGCUUGUCUUUUUUCAUAGAUUACGAGAGAAAGAUGAAACAAAUUGACCAUUUUUUGUGCUACAGUCUUGAUUUCUAUGUAAUGCUGCUGCUGCUGUUCUAAAUCAGCUCAAUCUGUGCUGUCAGAGCAGGAGGGUAAUGAAUAAAAUGGUCACCUCAAGUUUCCCCAUCAAGUGGGUUCAAAAGAAGUAAAUCAGCACAGAGAGCAGGAAUGAUUUUUUUCAGCUUCAAACAGGGAAGAGAUUCUGCUGACGUUCUGUUGAGCCAACAGCAUUCAUCAGCUCCUUUCCCUGCUUUGGGUUCGCUGUGAAUAGUUCUGCUCUGUAAGCUUUUCCCACAAAGGUAACCUUGUGUUUGUCUCAUAACCAGUGGCUGCCUUUGAAAUGCUGGUGAAUUGAAAUCACAAGGAGCAUUUCCCUGGUGCUUACAUGUAUGAUAAUACAAGCUUAGAGCAGGAAUAUGCAGCAGUAUUUUUCUCCCUUCGUUUACUUACACCAAGGCUCAAAGCUUGCCUGUGGUUAAAUCCAACUCCAGCUUGUGGGUUGCAGUGUGAGAGACAGUGAAUGGAAUAUCAAGGAUGUUUUCAGACUGCACAGAAC
rnacentral:lncRNA from 1 species